rnacentral:rRNA from 1 species
GGGUUGUGAGGUUAAGCGACUAAGCGUACACGGUGGAUGCCCUGGCAGUCAGAGGCGAUGAAGGGCGUGCUAAUCUGCGAUAAGCGCCGGUAAGGUGAUAUGAACCGUUAUAACCGGCGAUACCCGAAUGGGGAAACCCAGUGUGAUUCGUCACACUAUCAUUAACUGAAUCCAUAGGUUAAUGAGGCGAACCGGGGGAACUGAAACAUCUAAGUACCCCGAGGAAAAGAAAUCAACCGAGAUUCCCCCAGUAGCGGCGAGCGAACGGGGAGGAGCCCAGAGCCUGAAUCAGCAUGUGUGUUAGUGGAAGCGUCUGGAAAGGCGCGCGAUACAGGGUGACAGCCCCGUACACAAAAGCGCAUGUGCUGUGAGCUCGAUGAGUAGGGCGGGACACGUGGUAUCCUGUCUGAAUAUGGGGGGACCAUCCUCCAAGGCUAAAUACUCCUGACUGACCGAUAGUGAACCAGUACCGUGAGGGAAAGGCGAAAAGAACCCCGGCGAGGGGAGUGAAAAAGAACCUGAAACCGUGUACGUACAAGCAGUGGGAGCACAGGUUUACCUGUGUGACUGCGUACCUUUUGUAUAAUGGGUCAGCGACUUAUAUUCUGUAGCAAGGUUAACCGAAUAGGGGAGCCGGAGGGAAACCGAGUCUUAAUUGGGCGUUAAGUUGCAGGGUAUAGACCCGAAACCCGGUGAUCUAGCCAUGGGCAGGUUGAAGGUUGGGUAACACUAACUGGAGGACCGAACCGACUAAUGUUGAAAAAUUAGCGGAUGACCUGUGGCUGGGGGUGAAAGGCCAAUCAAACCGGGAGAUAGCUGGUUCUCCCCGAAAGCUAUUUAGGUAGCGCCUCGUGAAUUCAUCUCCGGGGGUAGAGCACUGUUUCGGCUAGGGGGCCAUCCCGGCUUACCAACCCGAUGCAAACUGCGAAUACCGGAGAAUGUUAUCACGGGAGACACACGGCGGGUGCUAACGUCCGUCGUGAAGAGGGAAACAACCCAGACCGCCAGCUAAGGUCCCAAAGUCAUGGUUAAGUGGGAAACGAUGUGGGAAGGCCCAGACAGCCAGGAUGUUGGCUUAGAAGCAGCCAUCAUUUAAAGAAAGCGUAAUAGCUCACUGGUCGAGUCGGCCUGCGCGGAAGAUGUAACGGGGCUAAACCAUGCACCGAAGCUGCGGCAGCGACGCUUAUGCGUU